AUAUAUAAGGGGCAGGACAGGAAGUGGCGGUGGCUUUGUGUGUGCGCGGCUGUGCUCGCGUGGGAGUGCGUGUGUGUGUCUGUGUGUGUGCGCGCGCCUGUGUCUGUGUGUGCGCGCGCGUGCGUGCGAGUCAGUCAGUCAGGUGUGUGUGUGCCACCCUCUUUCCCCCUACACGUUGAUCUUAUUCGAUCGGCCGGGCCCCGCCGGGCCGAGGUGAGAAGAAACCGCCGCGAAGCCCUUGGGCGCUGUGCGGCUGGGCCGGGCGGGAUGAGUCGAUCAGAUAGGCGAGGCCACGGCCGAUGAGCGCCCUGCGAUUCUGACCCGC
ensembl:scaRNA